UCGGUCCUACGGGAGGCAGCAGUGAGGAAUAUUGGUCAAUGGGCGAGAGCCUGAACCAGCCAAGUCGCGUGAGGGACGACGGCCCUACGGGUUGUAAACCUCUUUUGCCGGGGGACAAACGGCGGCACGCGUGCCGUCCUGAGGGUACCCGGAGAAAAAGCAUCGGCUAACUCCGUGCCAGCAGCCGCGGUAAUACGGAGGAUGCGAGCGUUAUCCGGAUUUAUUGGGUUUAAAGGGUGCGCAGGCGGAAGAUCAAGUCAGCGGUAAAAUUGAGAGGCUCAACCUCUUCGAGCCGUUGAAACUGG
rnacentral:rRNA from 1 species